UCCCUUGUGGCUCAGCUGGUAAAGAAACUGCCUGCAAUGCAGUAGGCCUGGGUUCAACCCCUGGGUUGGGAA
rnacentral:tRNA from 1 species